UUUUACUUUUGAAAUUUGAAAAAAUGAAUACCGAACCCAAGACGGGUUGCCUACGUAUCUCACCGGGAUGAGAAUCAGGUUCGCGUAGUUCGUUCAGAUAUGACAUAACAUAACUUUAGAAUUUAGACAAACUUGGAGCGAUUUCUUGUAUCCUCUUAACUGUCGACCUUUGUACUGCAUGUUGAAUGUGGUCUCUCAUUUUCCUUACAGUAACCACUAUAUAUAUAUAUAUUUUUUAAAUGUCUCUUGGAACUGUGUCUUCUCCCAAUUAUCCAUGAGAACCAAACAUUGUUAUGACCAUCCCCAACUGUCGUCGGGGAUGGUUUUUCUGCAAAAAUAUUAGAAAUGUGUGAAAGCAGAGCCAACAUGCAAAAAUAAUGAAAAAUAAAUGAGUGUGACCUCAUAGUCAAAGACUCCCCUGAUUUAUGUUUUUAACUUGAGAUUAAUGUCUUGUGAAAUAUAAACACUUGAACUUCGCGAAUUCUCUUAUCCCUUGCAACUUUGGACGAACAAUGACUUCUAAAUUCUGACAUAGAUCAAUCUCUCGCUUCAAAAGAUGAUAAACUCAAAAGAUAAAGUGUUAAUUUGUAUUCAUAAUGAAUAAUGCAAAAUAUCACAAAAAAAAUAUAAAAUUAAUUAAACACAUAAGCAUUACUUUGAUUGUAAACAAACUCAAUUAUAUCACAUAGCAUAUAAACAAUUAUUGUGCGUCCUAUACAAUUAUGUGACCCUUUUGUGCCAAGGGUAGACUUAUCGAUCUGAAGGAUGUAUUACGUCAUUUGACAACAUUGUUCCAAAAAUCUGAAUUUAUACAAACUUUAUGAAUAAAAACUGAAUGUGGAUACAUAAUAGGAAAAAGAGGAUACAAAUAAUCAGUCUCACACAGGGGUACAAUUCUAAGCUAUGCCUCCAUGGAUGGCCCUUUUGUUUGAUUUCUUUUCAUCUUUAAAUGGCAACACCUUCAGAUGCAAUUAUAAUUUGAUCCUUCUUUGACUGAAACAAACUCUUAAACUCCUUACCUGAAGGGACAUCGUUUUGCCAAAUGACGUAUACAUCCUUCAAAUAUAAACAUGAGUGUCUUUUAUUAACCAAUGGGCCAAAUAGACACGAGGUAGACUUCUAAUGGUCCCAACACGCCUUGGGUAUUGGGUCGACUUAGUUCAAAAUGCGCUCGAAAUCAGGAUUUGGUUUCGCUCUACGCUGGUUGACUAAGAGUGGCUUUUGGAAGACCGUGAACCCAAGUGGACAACUUAAGCUGGAACUCAUGACAACCAUUGGACGCAUGACGAACCAAUAAAUUGUCGAUCAUUCCGAAAAAGGGUUGAGUAUAAAAAAAGUCCGGCUGCGGUUCCGCAAAAUCGUUCUUUUAAUAUACUAUACAUACAACAGAAAUAUCAUGAAAUGCAUCAACAAUUUAUAUACAAUUUAAACAAAUAAUGAAUAAAUAACAAGUAUAAUAUACAAAUAAUCAACAAAAUAUACAAGAUAUGAUGAAUAACAUAAUAAAACAAUAACUCCUCAAUUUGAAAAAAUAUACUCAUAAUGGUUAGAACCUCUACGUCCCCAGCGGAGUCGCCAUUCUGUUUACAUCCCUACUCUAUUCAAAUANNN
rnacentral:lncRNA from 1 species